UACGAAGGGGGCUAGCGUUGUUCGGAUUUACUGGGCGUAAAGCGCACGUAGGCGGCUUGUUAAGUCGGGGGUGAAAUCCUGGAGCUCAACUUCAGAAUUGCCUUCGAUACUGGCUUUCUAGAGGCUGGAAGAGGUUAGUGGAAUUCCCAGUGUAGAGGUGAAAUUCGUAGAUAUUGGGAAGAACACCAGUGGCGAAGGCGGCUAACUGGGCCUUACCUGACGCUGAGGAGCGAAGGCGUGGGUAGCGAACAGG
rnacentral:rRNA from 1 species